rnacentral:rRNA from 1 species
UCCGGUGAUCAUAGGCGAAGUGAAACACACGUUCCCAUCCCGAACACGUUCGUUAAGCCUUCAGCCGUCGAUGGUAGUGCGGCCACGCUGCCGUGUGAGAGUAGAUUGUCGCCGGGU